CUAUAUUCUGCCCCACGAAGGAUGAGAAGCUUCGACCAAGGUUCGACUCGAGCGAAGCGAGAGAACGUUGCCGCAGGCAACGGCCCGAAGGGCGAGGAGCGAUAGCGACGAGUUAUCCUUCCCCCACCACCA
rnacentral:sRNA from 1 species